UGCCCAGCAACUCCUAUCCCUACCUCCUCGUGGUACUGGCCGGGGUACGAGUUGUUGAUCUAAGCAACCGGAAGUCCAUGUCCAUGAUCAAAGCACCCAUAGAGGAAG
rnacentral:ribozyme from 1 species